rnacentral:rRNA from 1 species
AUGUGUAAGAUCAUGCCCCCCAUGGCAGCAGGCCUCGUCGUCUUCUUCUUCGCCGUCCUCUUCUCGGCGGCUGCUGGCGGCGAUGCGGCGGUGGUCGAGCACACGUUCGUUGUGAACCAGGUGCGCAUGCGGCAUCUGUGCAACGACACGCUAGUGACGGUGGUGAACGGGCAGUUCCCCGGCCCGGCGUUGGAGGCCACAGAAGGGGACACCGUCGUCGUCCACCUCGUCAACCAGUCACCCUACGGAAUCACAAUCCACUGGCAUGGCGUGAAGCAGCGGCUGACGUGCUGGGCGGACGGCGCCGGGAUGAUAACGCAGUGCCCGAUCCAGCCCAACACGACCUUCACCUACCGGUUCGACGUCACCGGCCAGGAGGGCACCCUGUGGUGGCACUCCCACGUCUCCGCGCUCCGGGCCACCCUGCACGGCAUCAUCGUCAUCCGCCCCAGGUCGGGCUCCUACCCGUUUCCCAAGCCCGACGUGGAGGUCCCGGUCAUCAUCGGUGAGUGGUGGCAGAGGGACCUCGUCAAGGUGGACAAGAACUUCUCCAUCGGGGGCUCGUUCGACGAUAACCCCGCCGCCAUCGCCAUCAACGGCAAGCUCGGAGACCUCUACAACUGCUCCGGGGUGGCGGAAGACAACUUCGUGCUCGACGUGGAACCCGGCAAGACGUACAUGCUGCGGCUGGUGAACGCGGCGCUCUUCUCCGAGUACUACUUCAAGGUCGCCGGGCACAAGCUCACCGUGGUCGGCGCCGACGCCAACUAUCUGAAGCCGUUCACCACAGACGUCGUCGCCGUCGCGGCGGGCGAGACCAUCGACGUGCUCAUGGUGGCCGACGCCCCGCCCUGCAGGUACUACAUGGCUGCCCUGGCCAACCAGCCGCCGGUGCCUGACCCGCAGAUCCCGGUGUUCGUCUCCAGAGGGGUGGUGCAGUACAGCAACAUCCCCAAGGACGCAAAAAACUGUACAGAGAAAUCGCCUCUCAUGCCUGUGAUGCCUGACCAGCACGACACGAUCACGACCUUCUACUUCCAUGGCAACCUCACCGGCCUGCAGCCUGGUGGCAACCCGCUGCUGCCUCAGGUCCGGGGCCGCGUGGACGAGCAUCUCUUCCUCACGCUGGGCAAGGGCUCCAUGUGCACGAACAACAAAACGUCCUGCAAGCGAGGAGGAAACCCGGAGUCCUUCGAGGUGGCCUACAUCAACAACGUGUCCUUCCACCUCCCGGACACCACGGCGGUGCUCCAAGCGCGAUACUAUGGCGGCAAGCUCAACGGCGGUCGCGGUGCCGUGCCGGUGCAGGACCUGCCCAGCAGGCCGCCGAGGGCGUUCAACUUCACCGACCCGGCGCUCAUACCGGUUGUGCCCGGCGGCAAGAUGGAGGAGCUCGAGCCCACGCGGAAGGCCACUAUGACAAGGCGGUUCGCGUACAACGCGACGGUGGAGGUGGUGUUUCAGAGCACGGCCACCAUGCAGAGCGACUCCAACCCGAUGCACCUCCACGGCCACGACUUCUUCGUGCUCGCGCAGGGCCACGGCAACUACGACGCCGCCAGGGACGUCAGGAGCUACAACCUGGUGGACCCGCCCAUGAAGAACACCGUGCAGGUGCCGAGGCUCGGGUGGGCCGCCAUCCGGUUCGUCGCCGACAACCCCGGGGCUUGGUUCCUGCACUGCCACUUCGAGUUCCACAUGGCCAUGGGCAUGGCCGCGGUGUUUGAGGUGGACAACGGGCCCACUCUUGAGACCACUCUCCCGCCGCCACCCUCGGAUCUGCCAAAGUGCACGAGAUAG